GAUGAACGCUGGCGGCGUGCCUAAUACAUGCAAGUCGAGCGAACAGAUCAGGAGCUUGCUCCUUUGACGUUAGCGGCGGACGGGUGAGUAACACGUGUGUAACCUACCUAUAAGACUGGAAUAACUCCGGGAAACCGGGGCUAAUGCCGGAUAACAUUUAGAACCGCAUGGUUCUAAAGUGAAAGAUGGUUUUGCUGUCACUUAUCGAUGGACCCGCGCCGUAUUAGCUAGUUGGUAAGGUAACGGCUUACCAAGGCAACGAUACGUAGCCGACCUGAGAGGGUGAUCGGCCACACUGGAACUGAGACACGGUCCAGACUCCUACGGGAGGCAGCAGUAGGGAAUCUUCCGCAAUGGGCGAAAGCCUGACGGAGCAACGCCGCGUGAGUGAUGAAGGUCUUCGGAUCGUAAAACUCGGUUAUUAGGGAAGAACAAAUGUGUAAGUAACUGUGCACGUCUUGACGGUACCUAAUCAGAAAGCAACGGCUAACUACGUG
rnacentral:rRNA from 1 species